rnacentral:tRNA from 1 species
GGUUCCGUAGCUCAGCUGGAUAGAGCAACAGCCUUCUAAGCUGUGGGUCAUGCGUUCGAAUCGCAUCGGAAUCA